AAGUAUAUGCGUUUUCGGAACGCAGAAACUGCGAACGGCUCAUUACAACAGUUAUGAUCUCCUUGACAUUACCCCCUUUUAUAAGGAUACCUGCGGAAAAGCUGCAGCUAAUACUUGCUCGAUACGUUGUGCAUUCCUUUGGGUGUGCAUGGCGUGGUAUUUGUUAGCUCUGCAAGAAAAAGGAUAAGAUGGGAGUGAGAACAAAGAAGCGACACGUAUGCAGGUUUUUGUUUGCCUGUAUGAAGUGCGGAUCAAUCGAGUUUCUGACCUAUCAGCUUUGGAUGUUAGGGUAUUGGCCUAGCAUGGCGAUGACGGGUAACGGGGAAUUGGAGUUCGAUUCCGGAGAGGGAGCCUGAGAAAUCGCUACCACAUCUAAGGAAGGCAGCAGGCGCGUAAAUUACCCAAUUCUGACGAAGAGAGGUAGUGACAAGAAAUAUCAAUGCAAGGUCUUUUUUAGACUUUGCAAUUGAAAUGGUGGGAAUCUACAGCCUUCCCAGAGAAGCCAUUGGAGGGCAAGUCUGGUGCCAGCAGCCGCGGUAAUUCCAGCUCCAAUAGCGUAUAUUAACAUUGUUGCAGUUAAAACGCUCGUAGUUGACUUUCAAAAGUGUGGUCAUCGGGGGGAAGAUGCAUGUAUCGAUCUCCUCGUUCUUUGGAUGUCUGUCUUCGGAUUAGGCUCCAAGGAAUGGGUUGGGGUCGUGUGUGUAUGUUCUCCCUUUGCGAUACGCUUUUUUAGGGGACGUUCUAUGCACUUUAUGCUUUCGGGUAUAUGGGUGGAGUAGGAAUCCCUUGUUACUUUGAGUAAAUUAGAGUGUUCAAGGCAGGCAACUAUGCUAGGGGCAACCCGCUUGAAUACUACAGCAUGGAAUAACGACAUUGAGGAAGCCAAUAGGGGUUUGUCCAUUUUUCUUGGAUUGGCUUUUGAUCUUUUUGUAGUACGAUUAAUAGGAGUAGUUUGGGGGCCUUCGUAUUCAGAUGUUAGAGGUGAAAUUCUUAGAUUUUCUGGAGACGAACGACUGCGAAAGCAUUGGUCUAACAUACUUCCAUUAAUCAAGAACGAAAGUUAAGGGAUUGAAGACGAUCAGAUACCGUCGUAAUCUUAACCAUAAACUAUGCCGACUGGGCGUCGGGCGGGUCUUUUUGGUGGUGGUCCUUAUGCGCAUGUCGCGUGUAGGGUAUCCAUUCACCGUAUGAACUCCCUCGGUACCCUGAGAGAAAUCAAAGUCUUUGGGUUCUGGGGCGAGUAUUCGCGCAAGCGAGAAAGUUAAAAGAAUUGACGGAAGGACACCACCAGGCGUGGAGCUUGCGGCUUAAUUUGACUCAACACGGGGAACCUCACUAGUUUACGACAAGAGUAGGAUUGACAAAUUUUCUUUUUGAUUGAAGCUCUUUCUUGAUUUCUUGGUGGGUGAUGCAUGGCCGUUUCUAGUUCGUGAAAUGAUUUGUCUGGUUCAUUCCGAUAACGAACGAGAUCUCCCCCUGCUCAUUAGCACCAGGUGCAUGAUGUGUCAACGGCGUAUCUAUGUAGCGUUCGUUUCGGCAGAACGGAGAUCGGAUGGGAGUAGUGGAAGGAAGCAGAUGUUGCUCUUAGGAGGUGACUUCGGGUCUGCCUAGGAACGCGUCUGCUUGUUUUCCCUGCUUCUUGAUUCCGUCCGGGUAUGCCUUGCGAUCUGUCUCGUAGAUGCGUUCGUUGGGACGCACCUUUUUUUGGUUGCUUCUUAGAGGGACUGGGGGUGUCGAAUCCCAGGAAGCUGGAGGCCACAACAGGUCUGUGAUGUCCUUAGAUGAACUAGGCUGCACGCGUGCUACACUGAUGCGUGUAGCGAGCUAUUGGGGUGCGGUCCAUACACGUCUCGUAUGUGACUCCUCGUGGGUUCGUAUGUGCGUGUGUGGGUUUUUGCACCUUCCUGCUCCGAGAGGAGUGGGGAAUCUGGAGUACGCAUCGUGAUGGGGAUAGACGAUUGCAAUUAUUCGUCUUGAACGAGGAAUGCCUAGUAAGCAUGAUUCAUCAGAUUGUGCUGACUACGUCCCUGCCCUUUGUACACACCGCCCGUCGCUCCUACCGAUUGAAAGAUAUGAUGAAUUGUUCGGACUGUUCCGUGGGGGGUUUUAUCCUUCUAGGGAGUGGGAAGAACCGUAAAUCCUAUCUUUUAAAGGAAG
rnacentral:rRNA from 1 species